CGUGUGCUCCUGCGCAUGGGCGAAGCCUGCGCUGCGACCUGCAUGAGGAGAGGCCUCGGAAUCUAAUAUAAAUCGCGGGGAUAUUCGAAGUGAUGCUACCCGCGAUGAGCCCCGGCCAAUACGUGUAGCAGCCGCGGUAAUCGUAGGGGGCAAGCGCUCUCCGGCUCAUUGGGCCUAAAUAAUCGUAGGCGGCUGGGCAAGUCGGACGUAAACCUCCCUUGCCCAACCGUGGAAGCCGCUCGAUACUGCUCGGCUAGAGGCCGGUAGGGGGGCGUGGACCUCCCGGUGUAGCGGUGAAAUGCGCAGAUCUCGGGAGGAACACCGGUGGCGAAGGCGGCGCCCUGGGCCGGACCUUGACGCUUGAGGAGCGAAAGCUUGGGGCAGCAAAACAGGAUUAGAUACCCUGGUAGUCCCAGCCGUAAACGCUGGGUGCUUAGGUGUGGGGAGCUUCUCGACGCUUUUCCGUGCCGCACCUACGCAUUAAGCACCCCGCCUUGGGGAGUACGGCCC
rnacentral:rRNA from 1 species